rnacentral:rRNA from 1 species
UACAGAGGUCUCAAGCGUUGUUCGGAUUCAUUGGGCGUAAAGGGUGCGUAGGUGGCGCCGUAAGUCAGGUGUGAAAUCCCGGGGCUCAACCCCGGAACUGCACUUGAUACUGCGGUGCUCGAGUACUGGAGAGGAGAUUGGAAUUUACGGUGUAGCAGUGAAAUGCGUUGAUAUCGUAAGGAAGACCAGUGGCGAAGGCGAAUCUCUGGACAGUUACUGACACUGAGGCACGAAGGCCAGGGGAGCAAACGGG